UGACUGAGUAAUAUAGAGGCCAGAGG
rnacentral:piRNA from 1 species